CCUACGGGGGCAGCAGUGAGGAAUACUGGUCAAUGGGCGGGAGCCUGAACCAGCCAAGUCGCGUGAGGGAAGAAGGUACUGAGUAUUGUAAACCUCUUUUGCCAGGGGACAAAGGCGGCCACGGGUGGCCGUAAGAGGGUAUCUGGAGAAAAAGCAUCGGCUCACUCCGUGCCAGCAGCCGCGGUAUUACGGAGGAUGCGAGCGUUAUCUGGAUUUAUUGGGGUUAAAGGGUGCGCAGGCGGCGGGUCAUGUCAGCGGUAACAUGUCGGGGCGCAACCCCGGCCGGCCGUUGAAACUGGCGUGCUCGAGUGGGAGAGAAGUAUGCGGAAGGCGUGGUGUAGCGGUGAAAUGCAUAGAUAUCACGAAGAACCCCGAUUGCGAAGGCAGCAUACCGGCUCCACACUGACGCUGAGGCACGAAAGCGUGGGGAUCGAACAGGAUUAGAUACCCUUGUAGUC
rnacentral:rRNA from 1 species